rnacentral:rRNA from 1 species
GAUGAACGCUGGCGGCGUGCCUAAUACAUGCAAGUCGAGCGAACGGACGAGAAGCUUGCUUCUCUGAUGUUAGCGGCGGACGUGUUAGUAACACGUGGAUAACCUACCUAUAAGACUGGGAUAACUUCGGUAAACCGGAGCUCAUACCGGAUAAUAUUUUGAACCGCAUGGUUCAAAAGUGAAAGACGGUCUUGCUGUCACUUAUAGAUGAAUCCGCGCUGCAUUAGCUAGUUGGUAAGGUAACGGCUUACCAAGGCAACGAUGCAUAGCCGACCUGAGAGGGCGAUCGGCCACACUGGAACUGAGACACGGUCCAGACUCCUACGGGAGGCAGCAGUAGGGAAUCUUCCGCAAUGGGCGAAAGCCUGACGGAGCAACGCCGCGUGAGUGAUGAAGGUCUUCGGAUCGUAAAACUCUGUUAUUAGGGAAGAACAUAUGUGUAAGUAAAUAUGCACAUCUUGACGGUACCUAAUCAGAAAGCCACGGCUAACUACGUG